rnacentral:misc_RNA from 1 species
UCCGAGUUGUCCCCGGCAGUCCUCUUAGAGUCCCCAGCAUUACCUGAUGGCAACUAAGAGCAGGGGUUGCGCUCGUUGCGGCACUUAAGCCAACACCUCACGGCACGAGCUGACGACAGCCAUGCAGCACCUGUGCUAGCCCCUUACGGACACGGGCUUUCACCCGCUUUAACUAGCAUGUCAAGCCUAGGUAAGGUGGGGAUGACGUGGCACGCAAUAACA